rnacentral:rRNA from 1 species
GACGAACGCUGGCGGCGUGCUUAACACAUGCAAGUCGAACGGAAAGGCCCUGCUUUUGUGGGUUGCUCGAGUGGCGAACGGGUGAGUAACACGUGAGUAACCUGCCCUUGACUUUGUGAUAACUUCAGGAAACUGGGGCUAAUACCGGAUAGGAUCUCCUGCUGCAUGGUGGGGGUUGGAAAGUUUCGGCGGUUGUGGAUGGACUCGCGGCUUAUCAGCUUGUUGGCGUGGUAGUGGCUUACCAAGGCUUUGACGGGUAGCCGGCCUGAGAGGGUGACCGGCGACCUUGGGACUGAGAUACGGACCAGAAUCCUACGGGAGGCAGCAGUGGGGAAUCUUGCACAAUGGGCGGAAGCCUGAUGCAGAAACGCCGCGUGCGGGAUGACGGCCUUCGGGUUGUAAACCGCUUUCGCCUGUGACGAAGCGUGAGUGACGGUAAUGGGUAAAGAAGCACCGGCUAACUACGUG